UCCGUUGGACGAUGGAUCUGACCUUGACCAACGGGGACUGCAGCGACUCGGACCCUGCCCCCGAGGAGAACGAUGCUGCAGACGCCAGCCAGGCGGAAAGUGUGACCUCUGGGAUAAAGGAGGAGGAGGAAGAGGAGGCUGAUGACAUCCCCAAGCAAGUCCGAGAGGUCCCGGUGCGAGGAAACGCUGGCUGGGAGAACAGCCUGAGGCAGAAACCAGCACC